rnacentral:rRNA from 1 species
UAGGGAAUCUUCCACAAUGGACGCAAGUCUGAUGGAGCAACGCCGCGUGAGUGAAGAAGGUUUUCGGAUCGUAAAGCUCUGUUGUUGGUGAAGAAGGAUAGAGGCAGUAACUGGUCUUUAUUUGACGUUAAUCAACCAGAAAGUCACGGCUAACUACGUGCCAGCAGCCGCGGUAAUACGUAGGUGGCAAGCGUUGUCCGGAUUUAUUGGGCGUAAAGCGAGCGCAGGCGGAAUGAUAAGUAUGAUGUGAAAGCCCACGGCUCAACCGUGGAACUGCCUCGGAAUCUGUCAUUCUUGAGUGCAGAAGAGGAGAGUAGAAUUCCAUGUGUAGCGGUGGAAUGCGUAGAUAUAUGGAAGAACACCAGUGGCGAAGGCGGCUCUCUGGUCUGCAACUGACGCUGAGGCUCGAAAGCAUGGGUAGCGAACAGG